rnacentral:rRNA from 1 species
UGGGGAAUAUUAGAAAUGGACGAAAGUCUGAUCUAGCAACACCGCGUGUGCGAAGAAGGCCUUCGGGUUGUAAAGCACUUUUUGGAAGGAUUAGGAAGGAAUGUACUUCCAGAAUAAGUCUCGGCUAACUACGUGCCAGCAGCCGCGGUAACACGUAGGAGGCAAACGUUAUCCGGAUUUACUGGGCGUAAAGCGCGUGUAGGUGGUUCUGUAAGUAGGGCGUGAAAGCUCCUGGCUCAACUGGGAGAGGCCGUUCUAAACUGCAGAGCUAGAGGAUGGUAGAGGGAGGUGGAAUUCCGGGUGUAGCGGUGGAAUGCGCAGAUAUCCGGAGGAACACCAGUGGCGAAAGCGGCCUCCUGGACCAUUCCUGACACUCAGACGCGAAAGCGUGGGGAGCAAACA